rnacentral:rRNA from 1 species
CCGAAUGGGGAAACCCAGUGUGAUUCGUCACACUAUCAUUAACUGAAUCCAUAGGUUAAUGAGGCGAACCGGGGGAACUGAAACAUCUAAGUACCCCGAGGAAAAGAAAUCAACCGAGAUUCCCCCAGUAGCGGCGAGCGAACGGGGAGGAGCCCAGAGCCUGAAUCAGCAUGUGUGUUAGUGGAAGCGUCUGGAAAGGCGCGCGAUACAGGGUGACAGCCCCGUACACAAAAGCGCAUGUGCUGUGAGCUCGAUGAGUAGGGCGGGACACGUGGUAUCCUGUCUGAAUAUGGGGGGACCAUCCUCCAAGGCUAAAUACUCCUGACUGACCGAUAGUGAACCAGUACCGUGAGGGAAAGGCGAAAAGAACCCCGGCGAGGGGAGUGAAAAAGAACCUGAAACCGUGUACGUACAAGCAGUGGGAGCACCCUUUUGGGUGUGACUGCGUACCUUUUGUAUAAUGGGUCAGCGACUUAUAUUCUGUAGCAAGGUUAACCG